UACAGAGGGUGCGAGCGUUAAUCGGAAUUACUGGGCGUAAAGCGUGCGUAGACGGUUAUUUAAGUCGGGUGUGAAAGCCCCGGGCUCAACCUGGGAAUUGCAUUCGAGACUGAAUAGCUAGGGUACGGUAGAGGGAAGUGGAAUUUCCGGUGUAGCGGUGAAAUGCGUAGAUAUCUGGAGGAAUACCGGUGGCGAAGGCGGCAUCCUGGACCGACAUUGACGCUGAGGAGCGAAAGCUAGGGGAGCAAACGGG
rnacentral:rRNA from 1 species